rnacentral:sRNA from 13 species
GCAGCAGCAACAAACGGAAAGAAAAACCACAACAGAAACAAAGCUGUCGCUGGUGGCAGCUGAUGGAACCACAAAAACCCGACCGUAGCUAAAAUAGCAUGGCAAAAAUCGUUUUUGAUAAAAUGAAAAGAAGCGAGCGAAAUGAGCAGAACGGGCAAUGGCAGCAGCAAAGAUUGUGGUUUGCUGUUCCAGCUUUUAAGUAAAUAUGCAAAUAAAAAUAGCAGCAAGAUGAGAAGUUGGCAGAAGCAUCCAAUCGAAAGCAAAGCAAAAGCACAGCAAAGCAACAGUCAGAGUGACACGAUGGAAUUAAAUAUUUUAAAGCAAGCACUUAGCCUGCUCCUUUCACUUUAAGGAAUAAUUUACGCAGUGCAGCCAUUUAAGAAGCAAUAGAUUGCAGUUCUUGAAGUCUGGCUCAGGGGCGGGAAAACUGGUAUAAGUGGCCAAGGCUGAAGGCUUCAAGCAUAACAGAUAUCAAGGCAGCAAAGCAGCAAAGCAGCAAGCAAAGCAACAACAACAAUGCCACCAGGCUGAAGAGCCGGCAAGCAAAAUGCCAUAAAAGACUUUAAACAAAAGCAAAAUGAAUGACACGCUGAGGAUGUUGUGACGAUGACGAUAUGACGAUGUCUCGACCAUGGCCUACGACAACGUGAUUUUUACGUUAGCCUUUUCUCUUGGUGAUUUACGUCGCUUUCAAGCAUAACGUCAAAUUGUAUAUAGCAGCGCAGUUUCGUGAAGGAAUACUUAACAAAUAACCCGGAAAACGCAACAAAAAAGGAAGUAACGAAAGGAUACGACAGUUGGCUAUCCAGUAUUUAACUUGUAUCAUUAGUUGCUUGCUCAAAUAAAGAACAUUUAAUAACUGACGAUGGUAAUUAUAUGCCUUUGGAUCAUUUUCAGCUGUGAAAAGAUAGUACAAUCUGUAAGCUUCAUGGUGUUAUCUUGAUGAUAAUGACCACUAUAAAAUCAGCUGGGAGUAGAAUGAAUCUUUCAAGUCAAGUCCCUUCAUGGGGUUAUCCUUUGGGGUUAUCGACGGACGAAUACUACUCCCCGAGUGACGGGUGUAUAAAAAGCUGAGAGCAACUCGGUGCUUGGUCUAUGUGCACUGCAUGGUAGUGUGCGUGCAAGUGCGUCUGUGUGGGAGUUCUUGUAUUGACAGAGUGAGCAACGUUUUACAAUAGCCGCCAUUACGGAGUGACAGGAGCGGGGGAGCGAGUGGGACAGCAGGAGGGCCAGAGCGAGAGGGCUGACACAGCGUCUUCCACAGAAGCGUUUGCUUUUUGGCAGUUCUUUAUUAUGGCUUCCGACUACUUGAGUUGAGGGAGCCUGCGGGCCUUUGGGGGGAAACGGUUAUUUGAUUGCCUUAUCGAGUUUUAUGGCUUUAUUGAGUUGGGCCCCGGGGGGCGUGGUCGGGUGGCCGGAUUGGGGGCGCUACUGUAAGCGAAACUAAUG